UUCGCAAUGCCCGAAAGGGUGACGAAGCGACGCCGCGUGGGUGAGGAAGGCCCUCGGGUUGUAAAGCCCUGUCAGGAGUUAAGAAGUGUAAGUGUGCUAAUACCACAUUUAUUUGACGAAGGCUCCAAAGGAAGCCACGGCUAACUCUGUGCCAGCAGCCGCGGUAAUACAGAGGUGGCAAGCGUUGUUCGGAAUUAUUGGGCGUAAAGAGCACGUAGGUGGGUUUGUAAGUCAGAUGUGAAAGCCUUCUGUUCAACGGAAGAAUUGCAUCUGAAACUGCGAAUCUUGAGUGUAGGAGGGGAGAAUGGAACUUCUGGUGGAGCGGUGAAAUGCGUAGAUAUCAGAAGGAACGCCGGCGGCGAAAGCGGCUCUCUGGUCUGUUACUGACGCUGAGGCGCGAAAGCUAGGGGAGCAAACGGGAUUAGAUACCCCGGUAGUCCUAACUGUAAACGAUGGGCACUAAGUAGAGGGGUUUU
rnacentral:rRNA from 1 species